CACAGACGACCGGUAACGUUACAAACCAGGACUCACUUUAAAACUGAAGCCCAAGGAUGGAUCAAUACCAACUUCAGACUUUGAACCUUCAUAUCCAGAGCCAUGAGAAUCAGAGGAAAUGUCCGGAAGUUUCUAGCAGAUUCAGCUAUAACUGAUGCAGUGAAAUAUGUGGUGCACCAGGGCUCAGCGCAAAGCUGUAGCUUUUUUCCAACUGGAUACACAUAAAGAUUUAUAGGAUUAACAACGUAUAUCCAGUCUUUGACCAUCAGUAUUUACUUUUAGUGGGAGUGGCAGGUCUGCAUAAAAGAAGCCCCAGGACAGAGCUUCAAGUUCAU